ACAGAGACUGCAAGCGUUAUUCGGAUUCACUGGGCGUAAAGGGUGCGCAGGCGGCCGUGUGUGUAAGGUGUGAAAUCCCGGGGCUUAACCCCGGAACUGCGCCUUAAACUACAUGGCUAGAGUAUUGGAGAGGGUAGUGGAAUUCACGGUGUAGCAGUGAAAUGCGUAGAUAUCGUGAGGAACACCAGAGGCGAAGGCGACUACCUGGACAAUUACUGACGCUCAGGCACGAAAGCGUGGGGAGCAAAAGGGA
rnacentral:rRNA from 1 species